GAUGAAGAACGUAGCGAAAUGCGAUAAGUAAUGUGAAUUGCAGAAUUCAGUGAAUCAUCGAAUCUUUGAACGCAUCUUGCGCUCCUUGGUAUUCUGAGGAGCAUGCCUGUUUCAGUGUCAUUAAAUUCUCAACUACACUGACUUUGAAUUGGUGUGGCUUGGAUUUGGGGGGAAAAUUGUUGUGGGCUUUUUGUAUAGUCUGCUCCCCUGAAAUUGAUUAGCGGUACCUUUGUGGAACUGUCUACAGGUGUGAUAAUUAUCUACAUCUUAGACAUCUGCUGGAAUGCUGCUCUCUAAACCUUACUUGUAUUGACAAUCUUGACCUCAAAUCAGGUAGGACUACCCGCUGAACUUAAGCAUAUCAAUAAGCGGAGGA
rnacentral:misc_RNA from 1 species